GACGAACGCUGGCGGCGUGCUUAACACAUGCAAGUCGAACGGAAAGGCCUUGCUGUUGUGGUGUGUUCGUGUGGCGAACGGGUGAGUAACAAGCGAGUAACCUGCCCUCGAUUCUGGGGUAAAUUCCGGAAACAGGGCUCAUAUCGGAUAGGAGCUCCUGUAACCUGGUGGGGGUUGGUAAGUUUCGGCGGUUGGGGAUGGACGCGCGGCUUAUCAGCUUGGUGGUGGGGUAGUGGCGUACCAAGGCGAUGACGGGUAGCCGGCCUGAGAGGGUGACCGGCCACAUUGGGACUGAGAAACGGCCCAUACUCCUACGGGAGGCAGCAGUGGGGAAUAUUGCACAAUGGGCGGAAGCCUGAUGCAGCGACGCCGCGUGCGGGAUGACGGCCUUCGGGUUGUAAACCGCUUUCUGCUGUGACGAAGCGUGAGUGACGGUAAUGGGAGAAGAAGCACCGGCUAACUACGUG
rnacentral:rRNA from 1 species